rnacentral:rRNA from 1 species
CUUGUUUAUCAAAAACAUGUCUUUUAGAUAAUAAUUUAAAGUCUAACCUGCCCACUGAUUUAUUAAAGGGCCGCGGUAUAUUGACUGUGCAAAGGUAGCAUAAUCAUUUGUCUUUUAAUUGAAGGCUAGAAUGAAUGGUUGAAUGAGAUAUUAACUGUCUCACUAUAAAAAAUAUAAAAAUUUAAUUUUUUAGUCAAAAAGCUAAAAUUUUAUUAGAGGACGAGAAGACCCUAUAGAUCUUUAUAUUUUUAUUUUAUAUAAUAAAUUGAUUAUAAUGUUUUAUAUUAAAUAAAAAUAUUUUGUUGGGGUGACAGGAAAAUUAAUUUAACUAUUUUUAUAAAAUAACAAUAAUGUUUGAAUAAUUGAUCCAAUAAUAUUGAUUAAAAGUUUAAGUUACCUUAGGGAUAACAGCGUAAUUUUUUUGGAGAGUUCAUAUUAAUAAAAAAGAUUGCGACCUCGAUGUUGAAUUAAAGGUUAUUUCUAAAUGCAGAAGUUUAGAGUUUAGGUCUGUUCGACCUUUGAAUCUUUACAUGAUCUGAGUUCAAACCG